GCCGGGCAUGGUGGCGCACGCCUGUAAUCCCAGCUACUCAGGAGGCUGAGGCAGCAGAAUCGUUUGAACCCAGGAGGUAGAGGUUGCAGUGAGCCAAGAUCGUACCACUGCACUUCCAGCCUGGGUGACAGAGCGAGACUCUGUCUCAA
rnacentral:sRNA from 1 species